rnacentral:rRNA from 1 species
ACUCCUGCGGGAGGCAGCAGUGGGGAAUAUUGCACAAUGGGCGCAAGCCUGAUGCAGCCAUGCCGCGUGUAUGAAGAAGGCCUUCGGGUUGUAAAGUACUUUCAGCGGGGAGGAAGGCGAUAAGGUUAAUAACCUUGUCGAUUGACGUUACCCGCAGAAGAAGCACCGGCUAACUCCGUGCCAGCAGCCGCGGUAAUACGGAGGGUGCAAGCGUUAAUCGGAAUUACUGGGCGUAAAGCGCACGCAGGCGGUCUGUCAAGUCGGAUGUGAAAUCCCCGGGCUCAACCUGGGAACUGCAUUCGAAACUGGCAGGCUAGAGUCUUGUAGAGGGGGGUAGAAUUCCAGGUGUAGCGGUGAAAUGCGUAGAGAUCUGGAGGAAUACCGGUGGCGAAGGCGGCCCCCUGGACAAAGACUGACGCUCAGGUGCGAAAGCGUGGGGAGCAAACAGGAUUAGAUACCCGUGUAGUCCCAU